AACGAACGCUGGCGGCAGGCUUAACACAUGCAAGUCGAACGCCCCGCAAGGGGAGUGGCAGACGGGUGAGUAACGCGUGGGAAUCUACCCAGUUCUACGGAACAACUGAGGGAAACUUCAGCUAAUACCGUAUACGCCUACGGGGAAGAUUAUCGGAAUUGGAUGAGCCCGCGUUGGAUUAGCUAGUUGGUGAGGUAACGGCUCACCAAGGCGACGAUCCAUAGCUGGUCUGAGAGGAUGAUCAGCCACACUGGGACUGAGACACGGCCCAGACUCCUACGGGAGGCAGCAGUGGGGAAUAUUGGACAAUGGGCGCAAGCCUGAUCCAGCCAUGCCGCGUGAGUGAUGAAGGCC
rnacentral:rRNA from 1 species